GGGACACGUGGUAUCCUGUCUGAAUAUGGGGGGACCAUCCUCCAAGGCUAAAUACUCCUGACUGACCGAUAGUGAACCAGUACCGUGAGGGAAAGGCGAAAAGAACCCCGGCGAGGGGAGUGAAAAAGAACCUGAAACCGUGUACGUACAAGCAGUGGGAGCACGCUUAGGCGUGUGACUGCGUACCUUUUGUAUAAUGGGUCAGCGACUUAUAUUCUGUAGCAAGGUUAACCGAAUAGGGGAGCCGAAGGGAAACCGAGUCUUAACUGGGCGUUAAGUUGCAGGGUAUAGACCCGAAACCCGGUGAUCUAGCCAUGGGCAGGUUGAAGGUUGGGUAACACUAACUGGAGGACCGAACCGACUAAUGUUGAAAAAUUAGCGGAUGACUUGUGGCUGGGGGUGAAAGGCCAAUCAAACCGGGAGAUAGCUGGUUCUCCCCGAAAGCUAUUUAGGUAGCGCCUCGUGAAUUCAUCUCCGGGGGUAGAGCACUGUUUCGGCAAGGGGGUCAUCCCGACUUACCAACCCGAUGCAAACUGCGAAUACCGGAGAAUGUUAUCACGGGAGACACACGGCGGGUGCUAACGUCCGUCGUGAAGAGGGAAACAACCCAGACCGCCAGCUAAGGUCCCAAAGUCAUGGUUAAGUGGGAAACGAUGUGGGAAGGCCCAGACAGCCAGGAUGUUGGCUUAGAAGCAGCCAUCAUUUAAAGAAAGCGUAAUAGCUCACUGGUCGAGUCGGCCUGCGCGGAAGAUGUAACGGGGCUAAACCAUGCACCGAAGCUGCGGCAGCGACGCUUAUGCGUUGUUGGGUAGGGGAGCGUUCUGUAAGCCUGUGAAGGUGUGCUGUGAGGCAUGCUGGAGGUAUCAGAAGUGCGAAUGCUGACAUAAGUAACGAUAAAGCGGGUGAAAAGCCCGCUCGCCGGAAGACCAAGGGUUCCU
rnacentral:rRNA from 1 species